rnacentral:snoRNA from 1 species
AAGCACAUGUCACUGACCUCUUUCCUUUGCAUUGGUAAGCAGUGUUAUGUCUAAUGUGCUAAAUCAACCAUUGAAGGCUAAUUAGCAGCUUUGCUUCAUUCAGUAACUGCUGCCAGUCUCCUUCAUACAUGG